rnacentral:rRNA from 1 species
GACGAACGCUGGCGGCGUGCUUAACACAUGCAAGUCGAACGGAAAGGCCCUGCUUGCCGGGUACUCGAGUGGCGAACGGGUGAGUAACACGUGGGUGAUCUGCCCUGCACUUCGGGAUAAGCCUGGGAAACUGGGUCUAAUACCGGAUAGGAGCCAUUUUUAGUGUGAUGGUUGGAAAGUUUUUUCGGUGUAGGAUGAGCUCGCGGCCUAUCAGCUUGUUGGUGGGGUAAUGGCCUACCGAGGCGGCGACGGGUAGCCGGCCUGAGAGGGUGGACGGCCACAUUGGGACUGAGAUACGGCCCAGACUCCUACGGGAGGCAGCAGUGGGGAAUAUUGCACAAUGGGCGCAAGCCUGAUGCAGCGACGCCGCGUGGGGGAUGACGGCCUUCGGGUUGUAAACUCCUUUCGCUAGGGACGAAGCUUUUUGUGACGGUACCUAGAUAAGAAGCACCGGCUAACUACGU